GAAUUUGGGUAUUAGUAUCUUUGAUUUUACUUCACCCCUAGCUUAAUAUUUGACACAAGUCGAUUCAGGAU